UACGGAGGGAGCUAGCGUUGUUCGGAUCUACUGGGCGUAAAGCGCACGUAGGCGGCGCCGUAAGUCAGGGGUGAAAUCCCGGAGCUCAACUCCGGAACUGCCCUUGAAACUGUAGUGCUAGAAUUCUGGAGAGGCGAGUGGAAUUCCGAGUGUAGAGGUGAAAUUCGUAGAGAUGGGGGAGAACACUCGUGGCGAAGGCGGCCAGCUAGACCAGUUCUGACACUGAGGCGCGACAGCGUGGGGAGCAAACAGG
rnacentral:rRNA from 1 species